AUGGCUCAGAUUGAACGCUGGCGGAAUGCUUACACAUGCAAGUCGAACGGGCAGGCACGGGGCAACCUGGUGGCGAGUGGCGAACGGGUGAGUAAUACAUCGGAACGUGCCCAAUCGUGGGGGAUAACGUAGCGAAAGUUACGCUAAUACCGCAUACGAUCUACGGAUGAAAGCGGGGGAUCGCAAGACCUCGCGCGAAUGGAGCGGCCGAUGUCAGAUUAGGUAGUUGGUGGGGUAAAGGCUCACCAAGCCAACGAUCUGUAGCUGGUCUGAGAGGACGACCAGCCACACUGGAACUGAGACACGGUCCAGACUCCUACGGGAGGCAGCAGUGGGGAAUUUUGGACAAUGGGCGCAAGCCUGAUCCAGCCAUUCCGCGUGCAGGAUGAAGGCCUUCGGGUUGUAAACUGCUUUUGUACGGAACGAAAAGGUCCUGGUUAAUACCUGGGGCUCAUGACGGUACCGUAAGAAUAAGCACCGGCUAACUACGUG
rnacentral:rRNA from 1 species